rfam:Camelus ferus unplaced genomic scaffold scaffold518, whole genome shotgun sequence.
GAGGGUAUAGCUCAAAUGGUAGAGUGCAUGCAUAGCAUGCAUGAGGUCCUGGGUUCAAUCGCCAGUACCUCCU